AGGACGAACGCUGGCGGCGUGCUUAACACAUGCAAGUCGAACGGUAAGGCCUUUCGGGGUACACGAGUGGCGAACGGGUGAGUAACACGUGGGUGAUCUGCCCUGCACUUUGGGAUAAGCCUGGGAAACUGGGUCUAAUACCGAAUAUGACCAUUGGUUGCAUGACUGGUGGUGGAAAGCUUUUGCGGUGUGGGAUGGGCCCGCGGCCUAUCAGCUUGUUGGUGGGGUUAAGGCCUACCAAGGCGACGACGGGUAGCCGGCCUGAGAGGGUGUCCGGCCACACUGGGACUGAGAUACGGCCCAGACUCCUACGGGAGGCAGCAGUGGGGAAUAUUGCACAAUGGGCGCAAGCCUGAUGCAGCGACGCCGCGUGAGGGACGACGGCCUUCGGGUUGUAAACCUCUUUCAGUAGGGACGAAGCGCAAGUGACGGUACCUACGAGAAGAAGGACCGGCCAACUACGUGCCAGCAGCCGC
rnacentral:rRNA from 1 species